rnacentral:lncRNA from 1 species
UCAGUAUUGUUUGUUGAUUUCUAUUUAUUUCCCCAGCUUUUUAGUUUAGAGAGAUUGAGGGUUCAGUUCUUGGUCUUUUUAUUUUCUAUGUCUCAUUCCCUAAGGCAUUCAUUAUACAAUUUUAAAUCCUAGCCAUAUGCUGAUGACUCCUUGUGUCUUUGGUCCAAAUUUCUUUCUUGAACUCAAGACUUCCACACUCAAGUUCCUGCUUACAUAUUCAUAUUUUUCCUAAAGAUUUUAAAAGCCUCUUCAACUAAAAUUAACCACCCCUACCUGUGGCUUUUCAAUAAACCUUACUUUUAUACUUUGUUGAAUGCCUUCUACAUCCUAGAUUCACAUAUGUUCUAUGAUUUAAUAAUUUAUUCCAACCAGUAGUGCAAUGCCUAUGAACUUUUAAUAAAUGUUUUGUGAAGAAUGUAUAAAUUCUCACUAAAGUCCUAUAAAGUAAAAAAUUAUCAUUCCUAAUAUAAUGAAGAAAAUGUGUUUCAAUAGCAUUAAGCAUCUUGUAGAAGGAUUUAUAGCUGGUAAAUUGACUCAGGGUGAAACUCAAGGCCUUUGACUCUAAUUCCAGUGCUUUCUCCACUUCAGCACACUCUUCAACCAUAUGGGUCAUAGUCCCCAGUUUAGACGUCAGUGAACAAGUUGCCUGCAUGGGCUGUCACCCCAGUGCUUUUUAUUCAAUAGGAGAGAGAUUGAGCGACUUUAUGUUUUGCAAACAAAAGGUUAUAAACUUAGUGUUACUAAAUGAAAACCUUGUAUUACUUACAUGUUUGGCUUUAUAAUUUUCCCUUUUAUUGUUAUGAGAAGACAUACAAGUAGAUAAAGGGACUGUCCUCUGCACUGCAGGAUGCUUAGCAGCAUCCCAGACUUGGUCAGUAGCACCCUCCCUCCCAGGAGGACAACCAAAACUGUACUCCCAAGUGCCAAACGAGGACAAAAUCACCUCUGGAUGAGAACUACUAAGCUGGAAAAUGAAGCACUCAUACACAGAAUGUAAGACUAUCACACUUAUUGGAAUCAGAGAAUGUGAUGAAAACUUGAUCACAUUAAGAAGGCAGAUGUUAGGCUACAAAGAUAAAGUAUCAAUGGACAAAAAUCUACUACCUCAAUGUAGCAGGUUAACUUUGGAAAGAGGCUCAUGCAUGACUCAGGCAUGUGAGUUCCUGGUUGCUUCAGAUGUGUGUGUCUGUUUGCCCAUGUCUUAUAAGGCUCCCUUUUGGCUUACCUCAGAGGCCGAGGAGUAUAGGAGACAGUUGUAUUACCCAAGAGGCCAGCUUACUAGUUUAAGAGCAGAGGGCGUGGAUGGGCAAAUGGAAAGAUACCUGCAGACUGACCAAGUCAAACACUAGGCCCAGAAGAUGAGAUAUUCGAGUCUGGCCUCAUUCUCUACUAUUAAAAGGAUGAAUAUUUAAAACAUAAAAAGUUCCUUUCUAAAACCUCAGACAGAAUCUCUCUUCUGUGACUUUCAGAGUUUCAGACUGAGUCAUGGCAUCCUAAAUAGCAGAGCAUCUGACCAGGAGACCCAGUUCAUGGCAAAGGAGCUAUGGGAGUGAAUCUAUGACCAGAAAAGUCCAUGAUCAUAUCACACAUGGUGUCAUC